CCUACGGGUGGCAGCAGUGAGGAAUAUUGGUCAAUGGCCGUAAGGCUGAACCAGCAAAGCAGCGUGAGGGAAGACUGCCCUAUGGGUUGUAAACCUCUUUUAUGCGGGGAUAAAGGUGUCCACGUGUGGCUGUUUGCAGGUACCGCAUGAAUACGGACCGGCUAAUUCCGUGCCAGCAGCCGCGGUAAUACGGAAGGUCCGGGCGUUAUCCGGAUUUAUUGGGUUUAAAGGGAGCGUAGGCCGGUCUUUAAGCGUGCUGUGAAAUUUUGUGGCUCAACCAUGAGAGUGCGGCGCGUACUGGAGACCUUGAGUGCGCGGGAGGCAGGCGGAAUUCGUGGUGUAGCGGUGAAAUGCUUAGAUAUCACGAAGAACCCCGAUUGCGAAGGCAGCCUGCCGCAGCGUAACUGACGCUGAGGCUCGAAAGCGCGGGUAUCGAACAGGAUUAGAUACCCUUGUAGUC
rnacentral:rRNA from 1 species